AACCCAUGAGGGAGAAGGGUAAAGGUGUCCGUUUAUUUGAUUUCACAUUUGUGUGGGCGCGCUCUCUCUCUCCAUGCUGCAACCAACGGUGUUCCUCGGCACUGCAACAUCUUCCUCCCAGGCGUCACGCUGACAUCUAGCAGUUCUGAUCAGGUCCCGGUCACUGCAAUGUAGGAGCUGUCCAUUCCUUUGUGCUGCAUGAUGACUAGCCCAUAAAUGUCAGGGCCACUUACAGGAGAGUGGCUGUCAGAGUGCUUCACAUCAUGAUCUGCGCCAGCACUUUACCUUAGGAGACGUUUCAGUGCAACGAUGGACGGAAUGACAUCUUUCGAAGUCGCAGAAGAGUCGAUUUCUGAAGUAAGCUCCUCAAAGGUGCAAGUAGAGUCAACGUGUUUUACCUUUUAAUGUGCAUUAACUUUAUAAGAUAAUGUUGAAAAUCCAAAUCAUGAAUAUGUUCAAUUCACUAAUUAUUCAACAUUCGACUAUUAUGAGAUUGUCCUCGAGCCUCUUCACUUUGAUGGCCGACCAUAUUUAUUUGAACCAGGAUACACAGGCGAAGAGCAAAAUUAAAUUUGUGUGCGCGCAGAAUUGUCUAAAGGUCACAAGACACUGCUGUUGUACUCUUGAGCUAGGUACUGAACCUGCAUUGCUUCAGUAUAUAUGCAGUUGUAUAAAUGGAUGCAAUGUAAAUACUGUGUAAAAGGUUCUGAAAGUCACUCUGGAUAAGUGCGUCAGCGAAAUGCCUGUAAUGUAAUGUAAAGAGAGUCUUCAGUGUGGCGGGCCAUACAAUCAGUAAAAGAAGCAGCAUGCUGAGGCCUGACACAGUGGAUGCAGCCCUGUUUGUAAAUAAUUUGAUUUUUGGAUCCCUCUUAGAGUGAGCCGCGGCUGCCGCCUCCUUCUUCUUCUUCAUGUUUAUUUCUGAAACUACAACAGG